rnacentral:misc_RNA from 1 species
UUUCCGUAGGUGAACCUGCGGAAGGAUCAUUAAUGAUUAACUGUCUGUCGAGCUUGCUCACAGACUUAUCAUAUCCAUAACACCUGUGCACUUGUCGGAUGGCUUAGUGAAGACCGCAAGGUUGGAUCUAUCCAUCUACUUUACAUAACAAUUUAGUAACAAAUGUAGUCUUAUUAUAACAUAAUAAAACUUUCAACAACGGAUCUCUUGGCUCUC